CCUACGGGGGGCUGCAGUGGGGAAUAUUGGACAAUGGGGGCAACCCUGAUCCAGCCAUGCCGCGUGGGUGAAGAAGGCCCUCGGGUUGUAAAGCACUUUCAGUGAGGAAGAACGCCUGGUGGUUAAUACCCAUCAGGAAAGACAUCACUCACAGAAGAAGCACCGGCUAACUCCGUGCCAGCAGCCGCGGUAAUACGGAGGGUGCGAGCGUUAAUCGGAAUUACUGGGCGUAAAGCGCGCGUAGGUGGCUUGAUAAGCCGGUUGUGAAAGCCCCGGGCUCAACCUGGGAACGGCAUCCGGAACUGUCAAGCUAGAGUGCAGGAGAGGAAGGUAGAAUUCCCGGUGUAGCGGUGAAAUGCGUAGAGAUCGGGAGGAAUACCAGUGGCGAAGGCGGCCUUCUGGACUGACACUGACACUGAGGUGCGAAAGCGUGGGUAGCAAACAGGAUUAGAUACCCUAGUAGUC
rnacentral:rRNA from 1 species